rnacentral:lncRNA from 1 species
GAUAGUUGUCCAAGGUAUGUAUGGAGCCAGAAAAAUUUGAUCAUAGAAAGGAUGCAUCAGAUAUGGAUUAGGAUUUUUGCCAAUGGUUUUGAUUUAACAUCAUGAGAAGAACCAUUUCUUCUCAAUUCUUCUACGCACAAGAGAGAACCUUUUUCUCUUCCUUUCAUACUUUUAAGAAGAACCUUUCUUCUUUAAUUUUUCAUGAUGAAAAUCAAAUCUAAUCUAACUUUUCAUGCUAAGAAUCAUAUGAAUUCUUGAGCCCUAGAAGAACCC